CCGAGAGUCUGCACCGAGCCCUUGCGGUGAGGUGCAGCUCACACCUUACCCUUGCUUAUACGCACCUUUUCGUUGUUUUCCUCGGCGGGUCCGCUCGCCGACGGGAAGCCCAUCAAACCUCUUGCAUUAGCAUCAAAACUUCUGAGAAAACCCUAAAUUUUUA
rnacentral:misc_RNA from 1 species